ACGAGAUCAAGCUCAGCGACUGUACCCUGCAGCCGCUCCACCACCAGACCCCUCAGGCACAAAAUAAAUCUUACAGCCACGUGUCAGGAGAAGUCACCACUCAGCUGAUGUUCCCUCCGCCUGCGGGUACACAGUGUUUCACACGCUACAAUUAUACCGGCAAGUGACAAGUUUCCUCUUUAUUCAUGUUUCACCGCGUCACCUGCUGACGAGUAUAUAAGGUGAUCCUCGGACACAGGUGGAGCUCCUCAUCAUGCCGAUCUGAAGAGGUAAGAGUGACGUUCAGAACAUAUUCUUGUUAUUUUUAGUCAAAUAUACACAAAUGUCUUAAUAGCAGCUAUUUUAGAAGGCUUAUCGGAUCUAAAUCUUACUAUUGCCACACAAUUAGUAAAUGAGAAACCAUACAACUGUCAUCUUUUUACGUAACAAUUGUGCAACUGUUGUCCCCAGAUGGCUGUCUUAGCCGUGGCAGUGUUUGUAGCGUUGUCAUCCUGUGCAGUUGGCUGCUCGGGAAGCACAAAUUCUACUGAGCUGAUGUUAUGGAGGAUGGAAGAUCAACCUCUGGCUGUGCGACUAGCUGCUGUGAUCAAGGUGUUGUGACAUACCUGUGACCUGACGAGCUGAAUAAUUGAUUUGGCAAUUGAAAGAAAGGCGGCAAUAGAACAGUAUAAGAAGACUGUAACACAUUUUCACUUAAAGGUCCAAUAUGUAGGAUUUCAAAGGGUGUUUUCAUUGGUUUAUAAUCACCUGAAAAGUUUAUAAGGUAGCCCAGAAUGGACAAAUUAAGCACUGAGUCCAUAGAGGGACUUGAGGGUGAGAUGAGAUGCCACUAAAUCCUACACGCUUGACCUGACUUUGUACACAAGUACUGGCGUC
rnacentral:lncRNA from 1 species